AACGAACGCUGGUGGCGUGCUUAAUACAUGCAAGUCGUACGAGAAAGUCCUUCGGGAUGAGUACAGUGGCGCACGGGUGAGUAACACGUAGGUGACCUACCUCGUAGUUGGGGAUAACAGCGGGAAACCACUGCUAAUACCGAAUGUGUUGUGUGACAUUAGAAAAGCACAACAAAGAAUGCCUCUACUUGUAAGCAUUCGCUAUGAGAUGGGCCUGCGCGGCAUUAGCUAGUUGGUGGGUAAUGGCCUACCAAGGCAACGAUGCCUAGCUGGUCUGAGAGGAUGAUCAGCCACACUGGAACUGGGACACGGUCCAGA
rnacentral:rRNA from 1 species